CAGAGACUCACCUGGCCGCAGGUUGUUUCCCGGGGCGUGCCAAGCUUGGAUGCUGAGUGAGAAGGCAACACGAAGACAACCAGAGGCCGUUCUCGGGGCAGGGCACAAAUGAGUUUCGCAGGUAAAGAAGACAAAAGACAGACACACUCCCAAGGGAAGAGGAGCAGAAGGAGGGGAAAAAGCAAAGUGUGGAAAAGUCAAGUUUUCCAGACCCUUUGUAGACGGUGUGUGAUAAGGUUCUUGACUGAACAACCUGGGGAAUAGCCGCCCACGCUUUGGCCUUCCCGAGAAAACGGUCCCACCCAGACAACCCUCCAAAGAAGAGUCGUCCCUGAAGGCACCUGGUCACUUAGAGGGGCAGCCCCUCAGGCCCAGCUCUCCUCAUGCUCCCAUGAGAGCAUACCUCCUGGGUUCACUUUUCACGGGCUGAUUGCUCACGCCCGAUGACCUAACAUAUGCCAAAUAAAAGGGUCCCCGAGUGGGCAGGACCACUGGG